rnacentral:rRNA from 1 species
GUCGAGCGGGGUUACUGCGACAGAUCCCUUCGGGGUGACGUUGCUUUAACCUAGCGGCGGACGGGUGAGUAACGCGUGGGUAACCUACCCUAAAGCUCGGGAUAACAGUGGGAAACCGCUGCUAAUACCGGAUGACUUUAACCUAUGGCAUCAUGGGUUAAAGAAAGAUUUAUCGCUUUAGGAUGGGCCCGCGUCCCAUUAGCUAGUUGGUGAGGUAACGGCUCACCAAGGCGACGAUGGGUAGCCGGCCUGAGAGGGUGUACGGCCACACUGGGACUGAGGCACGGCCCAGACUCCUACGGGAGGCAGCAGUAGGGAAUAUUGCGCAAAGGACGGAAGUCUGACGCAGCGACGCCGCGUGAGCGAUGAAGGCCUUCGGGUCGUAAAGCUCUGUCCUUGGGGAAGAAGGUCUUCGGACUUGACGGUACCCAAGAAGAAAGCCCCGGCUAACUACGUGCCAGCAGCCGCGGUAAUACGUAGGGGGCGAGCGUUGUCCGGAAUUACUGGGCGUAAAGGGUGCGUAGGCGGCCCUUUAAGUCAGAUGUGAA